UCUUCCAAAUAGGAUGUAGUUGCAAUGCAUAGUAUGUGGCACUGGCAGCCAUAUCACUUCCAAACUGGGAUAGGGUGGCUCCUGAUUCUGAGAAGGGCAAGGCCAUAGGUGAUCAUUUCAGACCAAAGUCUACGUGGUUUAGGGUAGUUAAUGUAGUUUAAAGUAAUUGUUUUAAUAUGUUAAUAUGUAUUAGUGCCAAGACUCACUAUAUCAUAUUAAAUGGGUAUAAAAGGAUGCAAAUUGAUACGAAAGCUAUCUUUUCUCACAAAACUUGGUGUCUGAAGGAAGAAUCUUUUACAAUCCCUAUUCAAAGUGCAUUUACCUGAUUACCAGCAAACACAUCUCUCUCCACAUCAGAUCACAACUGCGCAAAGUGGACUCAGACCAUUAAAGAGGAGAAUAAGGAAGCUUCUUUUUCUCCCAAAUGGUUCUCUUAGGCACACAGCUGAUGGGAUGUCAGCAGAAUGCUAGAAGCUACAUCUAAUCAAAGCACUGAUAUUGCUUUGAUUUUUGAGGAGUUCAACUCUUGAUUGAGUUCAGCAGCCCUGUACCCACAAGGCUGUGGCUGGGAACUGCAAGGCAGAGGAAAAGCAAUUCUUUCUGUCUUCUUUACAAAAUUAUUGACUGAGUAAAAUUAUUUCUUUAUUCUUAAAUUUUCUUUUACAAGUGGGUACAAGCACUAUUUUUGGUUGCAGUUCGCCAUCAGAGUUAAGUUCAGUUCUCAUCACUGUUAAGUUCUGCUGCUCAUUUUGAAUGCAAAAGAAAAGACCUAAAGCAACCUGUGGGCUUUGUUUUUUGGGAUGCACUCUGAACUCCUCUCAUCUGAAAUAGCCACAACUAACCUGCCCCACAGGAGCUUCUGAUUUGUCUUGCUGUGGUUGGAUAAAGUUUUUAAAGGGUUUUUCUAGCAUAGGGGAGACAUGAUAUAUUGAUUCAAUUUGAAAAUCCUAUGAUAUUAUCACUGCACUCCAUCUUGUGGAAGAGACAACAACAUGUUUUUAAAUGAUUCUGUAGUGGUUUGAGUAAUUAAACCUAACAAUGUUUGGUUCAUACUGCCAAAGCAAAGAACUACAUAUAGCAAUGGAUACGAGAAAUUGCUUAAGUUUUAAUUUGCCUAAUUGUACCCAGUGGAUUUCUGUAAAUGUCCCUUGGUUUUAAAUAUGAGCUUCACAUAUUCUUUGUUUUGGAAAGGAGCUUUAGGAAAGCAUUCAAAGAGCCUAAUUUGAAAAGAGAAACUAAAGGAGAAAACAAUCUGCUUUCUAGAAUGAAUUUGAAGACAUUAAAAAACACAGUAUAGUGUAACAAGGAAGAAACAGUACUGAGGUCUGACCUUGGUGGAUUAUUCAUGUGCUUGAAGUUACACAAGUAUUUUGUUCUGCUUACCACAGUGACUGGAGCAAGGGAAGAAAGACUGGAACCAAAAUCAGUGCCCCAUGAACUUAAUCAUAUGAAGUUAUCUAUAUAAUAAAGGAGGUUUCUGAACUGAAACCAAUGACGAAUCCUUCACAGAUCCUCCAGUUAAAUGAAAAUAAUGGUGAAAAAACUCAUUUAUCAUUGAAAGAGAGCAUUACAUUAAAUAAGGUAUCGCCACUGGGAAAUACCUGUGUUGGAAUCCCCUUCUCUGAACUUUUGCAGGAUCUCCUCUUCAACAGCUUCCAGGUCCUUUGGUUGUUUGUGUCAUCAGAAGAAGGAAGCUGGAUGGAGGGAUCCUAGUGACAGUGUAACCUGUGUCUAUUCAUGUCAUCAUUCUCCCACAUCUCCAGGCAGAGCAUCACUGGGCAGCAUACACCUGCUCCUUGGUUAACCUUCAAAAGUGAUGAGUGAUGUCAGGGUUUCUCUGCUUCAUGCCCUCCUCCAGUUCCCUAGCUUUGUAUUUUCAGUGCUGUAACUCUUCCCUUUCCAUCAUUUGUUGUUUGUUGUUUAUUUUUUGUCCUUGUUUUCAUUACCUAUAGCCCUCUCCCUCCCUUGAGGGUCUUCAAGGUUUUGUUUAUACAACAUUCUGUUUUUUCUAAACAGAAAAGGAAAUAGAAACAGCAGCAGUAGGAGAAACUAUUUACAGAGUGCACACAAGUUUGGCCACCGUCUUCACUUUUCUUUGUACUCCCCUACCUUCUGUGGCUCUUACAAAGGUCCCAUGAAGUUUUACCAUCUUUUGUAUAAUGCAUGAACAUGUCUGUUGAUCCAAUUGCUGUAAGUCUUCGAAAGGAACAGCUCUACCUGGAGUGAAGUGGAAUUCUUAUUUAAAUAAGCUCAAACAUAUCUUUGUUAUGAGGUGAAAGAACAGUAGGUCCUUACUAGGAAGACAGUAGAGAGAGCAUAUUAGAGUUGCCUUUGACUCAGAACCUGAUACCUAAGAUUGAAAAGCCAGCUGCUUAUUUUGGGGCUGGUGAUCUGCAUGCUGACUAUGGAAGGAGGAGAGGAAGGGGUGUUCCUUAAGCAUCAUUAAAGUCUUCAUAGAUUCUGGGUUUUUUUCUUAAUUUCAUUUCCAGUUUUUAGAUGUAGAAGUGCCAAAAAUGAACAACUAGGAGAGGUUUUUCGGAGACUUGAUGAUGUUGAGCUGUUUGUGUGUGUGUGUGUAUGGAAAUAUCCCUCAUAUGAUGUACUCUUUGACUUAAGGCCUUGCAGUAGAGCUCAAACAAAGAGAAAAGCUAAGGAAAGAAUUUUUUUUUAAAAUCUAUUUUCCUUAAAGAAGUAAUUGCUUUCUAGAAAUGAGACAUUUUGCAUAUUACAUUUUUCUUGGCACAUUAGCUCUUGUCAAUUCACUAUUCAUAUAAAAUAACAAUGUAGGACACCUUUAAAGGCAAUUGCAGAGACAGCAAACUAUUCUUUCAUAAGGUUCUUUGCUGUUUUGGUUUUGUAUUCUAAAAAUCCAGACAUUUAAAAUCCCUUUUUAUAACAAGUAAAAGAAGGUGCUAGCUUUUGGGGAUUUUUAGGGCAUGUUGUAAAAUGUCCAAAGAAUACAUAAAAUACUUAUUUAAAAAUUAAUAUUUUCACAUUGUUCUAUUCUUAUGAAUGCUGAUUACUGGAGAGGAAAGGAUUGGUAAUGUGAAAGCCCUAUGUCCUUUUAAAGCAACUCUGUGUUAUUAAAAGUAAACAAGUCUGAAGAAUGAACCUUUUACUAAUGAUCAGCAUACCCUCUCCAUUUUUGUUUUCAAAUAGACCAGCUGACACCAGGUCUUAAUUUUUAUUAUUUUUUUUUUUAAUGCAGGGAGGUGAUGAUUACAGCAAAGUUGUGUUUUAACUAAAAAAUUUGAUAAAGCCAUCCUUUUUUCAAUUUCAGAUCAUGUCUACUGAAGUAUAUUUCUUUGGAUUGCUCUACAUGAAGUCCUUUAUAGUAUUAUGAUUGAUGCCUGUAAGUGCGCAGGCAGUGAGAUGGCAAUCACCAAAGAGGGAGAAGAGCUAUGAAUAAAUUUAGGGUUGAAAUUUAGAACGUUUCUAAUAAUCAGAAGAAUCAGGUUCUGGAAUAGUUUUUCAGCAGAAGUCUUGGUGGGAUGAUCUUUCAGUACAGAGAUGACAUAUGUGAUUUCUAGCUCUGCCAACUUAAUCACAAGACUGCAACACAGGCUGCAGUCUUUAUUUCUGCUGCAGAACGAAAAAAUAAAAACCCCAAUCCUGAAUUCCACAGUCUAAGCAUGCUACUGUCUGUGUGGGACAUAGCGGCAUUUCUGAUUUAGGGAUUGAAAGGAAAAAAAUUGACAUUCUUCUCCACUACACCUUGCCUGUGAGCUGUGGAUUAUUUAACAUAACUUUUGUGAAAGCAUUGGUGGAAGUUUUAGACAAGAUUGUUUUUCUGCUGGAGGGCACUGCCAUCACAGUAGAGCUGGCAGAAAGGCUUAUACAAGAGUUUCUUAUUUUCUUCAGCAAAAGGUCAGCCAAGAUUAGCUCAAAAUACAUUAAACAGUAGGUUAAACUAUGCCAGCUGACUUUGUGCAGAAGUAGAUUAGGAGUGCCCACAAAGGCCAUUCCACAACUGAGCUCCAGAGGCAAGUGAACUCAGAAGGAAAGGACAGCUUCUGCCAUUUCUGUGGUGACUGACACAGCUCAGUAGCUGUAUCCAUGGAACCAGUUAUUUCUGCUUCAAUCUGAAUUACAGUCUCCUUGCAGAGGGGACCAUUGAAAUAUUAGGCUUGUAACAUUUCUGGACAGGUUGAAAAUGCUGUGCUUCCAGAUAUAUGCAUUCUGAGAUGCUUUCCUGUGGUGCACUGAGAAAUGCCUGAUGGAAGGAAAAAUCAAUGGGCAAUACAGACUUGUGCUUGCUUCCAUGCUGCCCUGAUGCAGUUCCUUCCUGGCCUGUUAGGAUGGUUCUGUACCAUGCUGCUGGUCCUUGCAAGUGCUGAAACGCUGCUGAAUGGGUGCUUGACUCCUUGACCAAUGAAUGGCAGUAGAUCUUUACAGGAGCAGGAAGUAAGAAACAUGUACCAAAUGAUAACAUCUGCUUUCCAGCAGUGAGUGAUUUAUGAACUUCCUAAACCACUUGCUCUUCCUAGGAGUUACAUCCCUACUGUUGUAGGGAUGAACUUCUACUUCACUGUUGAUUUUUGGGAUGUUUUUCUACUUUGUUUUAAAUCUAGUUAUGCUUUUGACCUCCAUAACAUCUCAUGGCAAUGAGUUCCACAAUUUAAUUAUACAUUAAAAGAAGGACUGAUUUGCAGGACUCACAAUGCACUGUAGCUACACAUUCCCCAAAGCCUGUUGGCCAUUUUAGUGCCCUCGUUGCAAAGUUCCAGCCUACAGGGACACACAGAGAAACUAGAAAUGGAAAAGAUCUGUUGUAUCACAGUGUUAGCUCCAGCUUUAAUAGAAAAUGUUUCAGUCACAGCUUGACAUAAUAACAUCAAUGUACUUAAAAGAUACAGCAGGUCUCAGAACAGUCUGCAGGGUGUGAAAACAAAGACUUCUACAGCCCCCAGGGUGUUUUUCCUCAACAGAAUGAACGGGGCAGGAUUCAUGCUAGAGCUGCUGUGAACAUCUCUAUUGGAAUAAUUGAUAUUUUGAGUAGGCUUGUCAUUUUCCUGACCACUGUAGUUCUGAAGAUAUUUCCUGUCCUUCUUCAACUGUUGCUAGACUAACAAUAUGUUCUUUUCCUUGCAUAGGUAGUACAGAGAUUACAUUAUUGUAUUAAUGAACCACAGAUUGUAAGGAACUUUGUGGGGAAUAUGGUUGGUUUUCCAUACCAUAAACACUGGUUAAAGAAGAGGCAACAAAUUGGUGACAGUUUACCACAAACAGUCAGUCUAGAAAUAGAGCUCAAUCGUGACACAAUGAAGGUAGUAACUCACUGUGGCAAUUUUCUAAGGAUUAUGCAGGAUUGUUUCUCACUGGAAAUUACUUGAUCAAUAGUGGGUUUCUUAUUUUUCCCCUAAGCUUCUUCUGUAUUUUAAAAUAAAUGGGAAAUUGAGAAAGCAUUACAUCACUUUAUUUUAGAUCAUAUCAGAGUAUCACAGUGGUCAUGUCUAAGAUUAUGAAAUAAAAGCAAAAGAACUAGGAGUAACCAAGGAUGAUUGAAACACACAAUUUCCUCUGGAAUAAUUCAGAAUAAAUAAAGAUCGGUUAGUUUAAACAAAAACUCCUUCAAUAACCUACUGAAAGCUUUUCCUAACAAACAGCAUUAGCACUGCAGAUUUAUAUAAUACUUUAAUUUAGGGGCAGUCCAAAGUGGUAUACAGAUGAUUUAUGGGAAUAUUUCAUACAUCUCUAAAACAAUCUCUUCUUGAGUAGAAAAACUGUAAUUAUCAACAAUAAUACACUGUAUUCUGGAUCAGCAGUGUGAUUUCUGGGUAUCUGGAUAAUUCUGUCUGUGGGGAAAAUAUAUGAGCUGCUGUCCAUUUUCCUCUUCUCCAAAAAUAAUAGGAAACAAAUGUUGAAGAAAAUGCCUAACUAUGUGCUAAAAAUAUUCCUCCAAUAUUUGAUUACGAUAUAAUAGAUUUUACAAUAACAGACAUUUUUUUCUCAAAGAGGAAGCUUUGAGAAAAGCUAUGGGGUCUUUUACUCAGGAAGUUUUAAAUCCUUCAGUCCUGUUAUUGGAUGAAAAGUUUUAUUUCCAUCCUUUUUUAAAUGGAAGUUUCUAAGCCUUAUGAUUGUAGAGAAAAUAUUAUAAACCUGCAGCAAAGGUUCAGUAAUUGUAAAGCCUAGGAUCCCCAUACUUAUUUCAAAUUUCUUUGAUGCUUGAGGGCAGUAAUAAAAUUCUUGACAACUGGGACAAAAGACUUUACCAUGCUUGAAACUGAGCAAUAUUGUAAUUCCUACCUCUUUGUAGCCAUUUGUUGUAAUGAGAAAUUACUUAGAUGGUUUUAUAGCCUCACUUUGCAUUUCAUCAAACUCAUACAGAUUAAGUGACUCCAAAGUGAAGAUCUUACUUAUUUUCAAAUGUAUAUCCUGUGUUCCAAAGUGCCCUCAAUUAAUGGGAACAUUCAGUGGUAUGCUGAACAAAGACAAAAAGCUUUUGUAACUGAUACAAUUCUGAAAACUCAGUAAUUCAUGACAUCACCUGCCUGAGUUUAUUUUACUCAGAUAGAAAUGUCAUGCACAUUUUAAUUAGCACAGUAUAUACUAUUGCUAAAUUUUAAACAGGGUUCAGGUUUUUAAUAUCUGACAAUAUAUGUAGCAAGAAGAAUAAAUUGCCAGCUGAACACAAAAAGGGCAAAAUUUGGUACAGGGCAGUUACUUAAAAUAACUCAAUUCUAUUGACCCAGAUCUCAAACCUCAUCAUAGCCUUUUUAUAUACUUUUAACCAUUAUAAGUGGCUCUGAUUUAUAUCUGAAGCAAGCCUUCCAGACUGCACAUGCAUGAAAUCCACCUACCAGGCACAUGGGGACUGUGAAGCAAAUAAGAUACAAGCAGCUCCAUAAUUGUGCAUUGACUUUGAGGGAAAAAUGGAUGCCUAGUGAACCAUUAGCACCACCACAAUAAGUUUUGGAAGUCUGGUCAAAGCUGCUCUUCUCCACCCCUACUGAAAAUUCACAUAGUUAAAAAUAGUAAAAUGGUUUUAUCCAAUAUUCCUAUUCCUUUUUUUCUUUUUUUUUUUUUUUUUUUGAUACUCAACAUUAAUUUUCGGUGUAAUUCUCUUGCAGGUGUUUGUGUUCUACAAAAGGUUUUUGUUUCUAAGUACAUGUUCUGCUCUGGUAAUUAUCCCUCCUGCACUGUAAUUCAAGCCUGAAAGUUGAUUUAUUCUCCAUGUGUUCUUUUUACAAUUAAAUGUGUCGCCUUUGUAACUGACGUACAUCUGACAAAGCUGAUCUAAACAGUUGCAGAAAUGUCUCAUUGCCUUCACAGUUAUGAGCCCAAUUAACUUGUCAACAUUUUCCAGUGGUUAUUUACUACAGAUUUACCACAGCUCUAAUCAGCUACAGAGGCAGGAGAAUGAAGGACAAUUGGGGUAAGGGAGUGUCUUUCCUUGCAGUUUUCUAGUAACAAGUGGAUCCUCAAGAAGCAAGUAUUUAGGGUCUGUAGGAGUCAAAAUGGUGAUGGGUCAGAAAAUCACAAAGAGGUUUCUUCAGUGAUUGUGAUCUGAUUCUGAAGCCUACUGAAAUUAGUUUUUGUAUGAAUAAUUAUUUCAUUCUUGGUUAUUUCUACAGCCACAUUUAAAAAUGAGAUUAUCCCAUCUGUCUUAGCAUACUUCAGAUGUCAUUGGCAUGCAGUUUGCUACUUAAAGACCAGCUUCUGCUAUCUUUGUUCAUCAUAUCUCAGAAUACCACAGCUGCAUAGAAAAGGUGAAAACAGAACAAAAUUAGAACAUAAGCUAUUGUUCUGAUAGCAUUAAUCCCUUUCAUAAUUUGCUUUUUUCAUGUAUGCUGUAUCACCCAAACUAAAUUACUGUAGAUCCUCCUAGGAAGCAGCUCAAUUAAAUCUGUGUGACUUAAAUAUACCCAGAGACAGCAAGGCACGUUGCUAGAGAGCAGGUCAGUGCACAUUGUACUUUCUGGAGCUGUUGAAAAGUGCAGAGAUCAGAAGCUGUUGAUCCAGCCCAACACCUUUACAACAAAUACUGUGCUCAAAACACCUUCAUUCUUUUAUGAGACAGCAAGCAGCUACUCCCUUUGAGAGGGCUCUGCUCUCACACUGCAGAUCUGUUUCCUUCACCACAACCAUCAGGGCAGCAGAGCAUUCCCUCCUGGCACGGGGGCAGGAGCAGCAGCAGCACUGGUGCUGCCAGAGGUUCCCAGCAGCCUCCUCCAGCUCUUAGGUCCAUCACUGCCCACUAGUGACACGAUGGUACCAUGGUGUUGGUGGUGCCAGAUGGAUUGGGAAACACAUUUACUGUCAGGGUUCAUCAAAACCUGUGAUGUCCAGAAGGUUUGGCACUCUUUGAAAAAAGGCGUCUCUGUGAGUGUGGUUAUUUUCAAACCUUGCUGCAGUGAGGGGAAAUGCUUUGGGUCUAGGAAAGUAUGUAUUGGGUUCAAACACAAAAUCAUGUUGAUCUGUCCAUAAAUACGUCAAAUUGUUAUUCUGGUUUUAAGAUAAUUUGAGUUGUAAUUUUGGUUUUAAAAUUACAACUAAAAUUACAAUUAAAAUGAUAUGUAAUGAAUAUAAAACUAAAGUUGUUUCUUUUCCAAGAGGGCGCUGUGGCUGAAUGGAAACCAUGGUAACUAGGGUGGCAUAAUGCUGGUACCUUGCUCCUGAGUUAUAAAAAAAAUGCACAUAGAGUAGGUUUUGUGCUUAGCAACAAAAAGGUUGGAUUUUCAAAUAGCUCCCUCUAGCCCUCCAUUACAGCUGCCACCCUUGUCCUAUGCACUGUGUAUCCCAAGCUUCAUACUUUCAUGUUCAUUAAUCCUUUAGGCAUUCAAUAAGCAGCAGAAAAUACAUUUCACACAAAAGAAAGUAAUUUAAUUUUUUUUGGCUAUUGCUUUAGAAGAAUAUAAAACUCAGAUCUCUUCCCUGUAGAGCUGUUGGGAAGUAUGACUCAUCCUUGCCCAACAUGUUGGAUGUUCACUUUAAUUAGAUAUGUGCAUCUAAAGAUUGUUGUAAACACUUGUUGUUAAUAGCAUAUUACUCCCUGUUUUACAAUGGGAAGUAUAAACAAUCCUAAUACAUUUAAUACAUUAAGCUGUACAUUUUAAGUCAUGUUAGGGCAGCACACUGGCAGAAAUUAAUUAGGAAAAUUCUCUAAUUAGCAUAUCUUGGCUGCUUUACAAAUCACAUUGGCAUGAAAAAUUGGAAUAAUGCAAAUUUUACUCUACAAUGAUGCUUAAAUAUUUUAUAAAUACUAAAUAUUGUUACACAAAUCUUUGAUAUCUACCUAUGUGGUAAAUCUGGAUGGAGAUCCAGUUUAUUUAUAAUAAUGAGUGAAAAGAGAUGAAGUAUUGCUACUUUCUUGUUGGUGAUGGUGCAUGUGAAAUAGGCUAACCUUUAUAGAAUCACAGAAUAGUUUGGUUUGGAAGGGACCUUUAAAGGUCAUUUAGUCCAACCCCUCUGCAAUGAGCAGGGACAUCUUCAACUAGGUCUGGUUGCUCAGAGCCCCAUCCGAACUGACCUUCAGUGUUUCCAGGGGUGUGGCAGCCACCACCUCUCUGAGUAGCUAGUUCUAGGGUUUCACAACCCAUGUCAUAAAAAGCAAAUAUUCCUUAUAUCCAGUCUACAUUGACCAGCUUUUAAUUUAAAGCCAUUCCCUCUUGUUUUAUCACUGUCUGCCUGUGUAAAAAGUCUGUCCUUUUCUUUCUCACAGGCCCUCUUAGGUACCAAAAGGCACCUAUAAGGUUUGCCCAGGCCCUCUCCAGGCCUCUCCAGCCCAAACUCUCAGCAUUUAUUCAUUAGGAGAGGUGCUCCAGCCCCCUGAUCAUCUUCAUGGUCCUUCUCUGGACCCAUUCUAACAGGUCCAUGUUCUUCCUCUGCUGAGGACCCCAGGCUGGAUGCAGUACUCCAUGUGGGGUCUCACUCGAUUGGAGCAGAGGAGUUCUCCCUUGACUUGCUGCCCUCACUUCUUUUUCAUGUCACAUACACAUAUUUUGUUCAGUACAGGCAGGUGAUUUGUCUUUAUACUUAGGCUGGGAUCUAAGCAACCCACACACCAGUGCCAGCAUAUGACACAGCACAAAUUGAUGAUCCAGAGAUUUUGCAAUCUCUCUCUUGGGAGAUUGUAAAAAAGAACAGGAAUGUUAUGUCUUUCCAAAUGUGACUUAGCAUACUUGAGUAAGCUUGACUGCUCUCAAAAUCUAGUAUGAGAAUGAUAAUACCAUGUGGUUUUUUGUGUAUAUGUCUUUCUCUGUUGUGCAGAAAUUAAUCAUAUUUGUCUGUAAGCAACAUAUCUUUUUUUCUCUUUUUAAGUUCACUGACAUUUACUGACUCAGGAUGUACAGUAUUUCAUAACCAUAAUGCUAUAUCACCAUGUGUUAAAAGGAAGGCUCUAGGGUAUUAGACUGACUUUAUAAACAUCAUCUGUACUUUAAAAGUGUUUUCACAUGGUCAGAUUAAUAGCAUAUGAUUUAAACAUUACUGUGCCUUUUACUGCUCAGAAAUCUUCACACGGUACCACUUCACACUUUCACAGAGUGUAUUUCACUGUUUUUAUCUGUCAGCCAGAAAAAUUCCUGAACAACAGAAUCUGAACUAGUCUUAUCUCUGAGAAAUUUACAGACACCUUAGUGUUAAUCUGAAGACCUAAUUGUACAUACUUUUGAUCACAUGCAUAAUUUCUUUUGGUGGAAACCUGACCAUUUAUGUAAAUAAAGACUCAACUAAGCUGCACAAUCAGGACUUGAGAGUCUAGGUCAUUCCAUUCAUUUAAUGAGGAUAAUGGUGCACCCCUGCACUGGCACAGGCUGGACUUCACCUUUUCUCCCACAGUUCUUUUGUGGCAGCUCAGAAUUUUUUGGCUUUCUUUUACCUUUAAUUUGCACUUAAACACCUGCCAGAAAGACAAAUGCGUAUACAUCACAGGACUAUCAGAGAGUCUUCCUGGAGUGAUUUAAGUGACACGACAACAAUUUGUUGUAUGCUCCUAAGGCAAUGAUCAAAAAAAUAGCAACCACAUUUCUUCAUGUGGCUGAUGUAGACCUAAGGCAUUAAGAAAUUGUGGAUUUUUUUGUGUUGUGUCAUUAAGAAAAUGUGGGAGAACUUGAAAGUAAAAUGUCACCUCGCUUAUGCCUUUCAGUACCAUUAAAACACAGAAUCAAGGCAUGUUAACAGUCUGUACCAGAUUUGUUUCCAAAUAUUUAAUAAGUUUGAUGCUUUAGAAAAUGAAUAACAACUAUGGAUCUUUUAAGCAUGUAAUAAAUGGAAACAAUUUUCACAAAGUGUUCACACUGUAAUGUGGAUCUUGUAACCUUAUUACCAGAAAAUGUUACUACAGAGGAGUUGCUAAGAGAAGAGGAGCAGUUGUGAGCUUAUGUAUAAUUUUUCUACAUUACUGUUCAUUAAAUAAAAUAAGGCAAUAUUAUUUCCAUUGGUAAACCACAGAGAAAAAAGAGGGGUAAGUUUUGCCUGGAUUUUUGCUCGUUUCCUUGUUCACCCACCCACAGCCCCAGCUGCUGCUUUCCAGAGACAAAUGCAUUGCCUGGUACUAAGUAUAUGUAGACAAAACAUGCAAGCUGACAGGAAGAGUGAUGGUGUUACUAUUGCAGGAAUAAUCCUUAAAUUGUAUGUUUAUAUUCUGUUGAAUGAUUUCUUUGUCUUUUAAGCUACAUUAUAGUGCUUUUUCCAUCUAUGCAUGUUUUAUAGAUGAGGUGGUAGAGUUAGCUCCCAGCAGAAACAGGAACUGAAAAGAUGACAUUCCCAGCAAAGGAGUAAAGCACAGAUGGAUGGAACCAAGUUUCUUUCUGAUAAUUUUUAAUAUUCUGGUGAUGCUGAAAGAUAUUUGGCCAGGCAGAAGCAAUAUGGAGAAACUCUUCCAUCUUCCAGUCUUCCAGCAGAACAAUGGGCAACAGUCACAAGUUGAAACAGGAAAUUUUGCCCAGCUGUUAAGAAAUUACUUUUCCCACAAAGACAGUUAAGCACUGGAAUGGGUUGCCCAUGUUGUAGAAUCUACAGGUUUGGAAGUAUUCAAAGCUUGACUGCACUAGAAAAAUUAUUCCAAUUAUUACAAUCUAAAAUACUCUAUGAUUCUAUGAAUUCAAAAAUGUUUACAACACAGUGCCCAGUGUUUUGAGGUAGCAAGUGGUCUGCCUCAUCCCAAAUGCUCAGGUCUUCUUCCAAGAUCAUUCCUCCUGCUAUGAGAUCCACACCAUCUCUAGAUGGCGUCCUGAAGUUGACUUGGAUGCUGCCCAGCCAUGGUUAAAACUUUGACCUAGGUCCUGCAGGUCAGUAAGAUGCCAGUGCUACUCUUCCUGUUGACUUUGUAUAACUUUGAUGGAAAAUGGAUAAGCUUUGAAAGUAUUACAGACAUUAUAGAAGCUGCUAAUGAUUUGCAACUUUAUGUGCAAAAUUAAAAAGUGCAAUAGAAAUAUUUUGGUAGCAUGGCAAGAGAUGCAUAUGUAAAAAAAACAUGCUUAGGGAAAGUCCAUAUUGAUUUCUCAUACCUAUAUUUUUUUAUUCCUACUCUGCUUCUAGCAGACCUCAGAAAAAAAUAGGUAAUAUUAUUCCUAAUAGCAAAACAGAGAAAAACAUAGCAGUAAAUCAAAUAAUGUUUUGUGUAAUGACUUAUCCAAGAGCUAUGGAGUGAAGCAUCCUUGCAGAACACAGAUUAACAAAUAUUAUUCUUGUUAUCAUAGUUUACAUUUAGUAUUUGAUCCUGGUAAGUCACAUUCCCAAAUGAUGCAAACGGGUCCAUUGAGAUGUCCCUGCAUAAAUUUAAUGAUGUUCUUAUAAAAAUCUCUGGCCACCUGCAGCAUAUAUAGAUUUGCCAGGGCUUUGGGGAAAAGUUUGAUUUGCAGACAGGGGUUAUUUGCAAGGAUUCGGCAACAAAACCAUCUGUCUGCAUCUCCUCCAUAGCCUGAAACUCUAUUUUUGUCUAGUGUAUCUAGUGAAGGGACACAACAGCUGUUUUCUCAUCUUUAAGCCACAUUUUUUCAGCUGAAUCUUUAGAUAACCACUCUGCAGCUCCAGAGACAGUUUGACCAAUUGGAAUGCACACUGGAUUUUUAUCUCUUAAGUAACCAUUUUUUCUUAUCUUGAAAAUAGCUUGAAAACCAAUAGAAUGUGAAGUUAGUUCAGAUUCAAGUUGUCUUCCAUUUGAAACAAACCUUUGAUGAAGACUGGAAAAAUGCAGCGUAUCCCUGUCUAGCACCAGGUGUAGAAAGGAUAUAACAUUUGAAAAUCCUUCUUGACACAUUCUUCAACCUGACAUUUGAAUAUUUAUCUAGCAUUUCCCCUGCUCUUCUCUUGAAGAAGCCAAGAUAAUCUGUGCAGGAGAAGGCAAAGGAGAUGCUAUCAUUUCACCAGAGACAAAAGAUGAUUCUAGAAAAGGCAUUUCAUGUUCUUAAAAACUAAAAACAAGGGAAAUUGUCAGAGCCUGUGUUAAAUUUAAGACAGAAAGGAGUAGUAGCACAUCAAGAGCCCUAUGUAAUUUAUAUCAGUAUGUCCUGCAUUUUGACUUUAACUACAUUUAGGUUUUCAUCUUUCAUUUUCAGAAGUGUUGAGCAGCUAAGACAGAAGAAGCAGUUCAUUUUUCACAUUUUAAGUUGCAGCAAUCUCAAGAGGAUUUGAGUAAGCAUGACUUACACUCAUUCAGCUUUUGUUCUUGAUUGAGAACUAAUUACACUUUUUUGGCAACAUUAAACAUGUUAUGCUAGAGUGCAAUGUUGUAGCGAGGGCUGAAUUCUGUAACAAGUUCCACAGCAGCAGAAUGAUAGCACAAAUUUUUGAGUCUAGAAGUCUAACAAGGGCUUCUCAUACUGCUCUGUCAGUAAAUCUGUGUAUUUCCUUAGCCUAUCUCCCAAACACUGCAGUUUCAUUGCUUUCUGAAGGGUAGAGAAUUAUGUAUUUAUGUAGAGGGUCAUGGACCGUAUGCAGCACAAGCAGGUAUUGAUGGUAUCUGUUGAAAGAACAGAUUUGCUUUUAGUUGCAUCUUCUCAGCUUUUAAUCACAGCUAUAUGUUCAUGGUAAAAUUCAAAUAAUUUUAUUCAAAAUGUACUCAGCAGUACAUUUAUUUCGAAGGGUUAAAAAGCCAUGAUUAAAUGUCAACCUAUUAAGAGAGUCACAAGAAAAAUGGCUCAAUUUCUCAAAUUGCUACAUUAAUGAAAACUUCUCAAUAUAAAAGGGUUUAAUAUUGAAGAAUUGCAUGUGCCGAAGCGAGCUGAUAGAAUUUAUCUUUGUUAAGUGAUGACAGCUGUGAAUUUGUUCCCACAAAGGAAAUCUUUAACUGGUGACAGCUAAUUGAGAAAGGCAGAACACAGUAUGGAAUUUAUUUCCACUUUCCUCCUCUGCAGAGAAGCAAAGCCAAGAGUCUGGCAUUAUUUCUUCCUGAAGACAUCUUCAGUAGCCUGUUUUACACUGAUUCAUUGUUAUUCAAUGCACAUGCUUUCUAUUUAUUCCAGUUUCACUAUAGCUUUAGGUAGACAGUAAAUCAGCCUCACUCAAUGUACACAAUUAAUUGCCUAUCUAUGAAACAGGACUAGAAACCCACAGAUGAUGCUUGUCAGCAAAGUAGAGGGGUAUGAGGAGGACUGGAUUUAGUUAAGGGUAGGAAUGGCAGUAACUAAAAUGUGACAAACUUUGUUUAACACAAGUCUUAGCAUUUAUUUUGGAGUUGGACCAAAGGAAAAAAAAAGAGCCUCAUUAUCUUGUAAAGAAACCCUAGGUGUCUGAAAAAAAUAUAUUUUGUCUUCAGUUUGAAUUGUUCUUAGAAAUAAAUGUCAUCUUAUACCACCACACUUAAAUAUGCUUUUAAAAUUUAAAAAGAAAGAAAGGUUUCAACAGUGUGCUUUUCAACUAAAUAACCUAGGGAUAAUGUAUUUCAAAAAAUUUGUAGCAGCAUUUUGGUACAUCUGCAUAUUCAGCUUUUUGCCCCUAAAUUUUGUGCAAGAAAAACAUACCCAAUUUUGAUAACUUGUUUCUCCCUGUAGAUAUGUCCAAUAAUACAAGUAAGCUGAAUAUAUGGUGGCUCCACCCAAAGGAUAGCCACUGAUGCUGAGAAUAGUAAAGACUUUCUUCUUCUCAGUUAUAAAAAUAUCUCUUUUGCUUUUUCUGCCAUGUUAGUGAAUUAAAGUGGUUCAUCAAGUGGUCUGACAAUUGCCUGAGCUAGCAAAAAAGAGAGGAGGUGGGCUGUAGCACUGGGAAAGGGGUGGGGUGGUAAGGAACAAAGAAGGCUUCCCUCCCUGAACAGCAGUGAGCCCCUUCCCCUGCCCACCAGGCUGUAGCCCCUGCCACUGCCCCACCUGAGCCCCACCAAGAGGGACUUGAGCCCUGCUAUGCUUGGUUCUCAUGAAGAAAAUUAAUGGUGUGGAGGAAUUAAGCAACUGAGAUACAUAAGUUCCAGCUUUUAGGGGAUAUGGGGACUGCUAAGAUAGGCUCUACCUAACAUUCAGUUUCUGCUUGACCUUAAGAGGGAUGCAAAUCCACAACCCCACUUUACAAGGGGACAUCUAACCAUCAAGCCUGUGGCAUCCUUUAGGCCACAGUGUUGUGCUGGGACAAAGGGCAGUGAAGGGUGACAUGCAAUGCACAACUCCUGUACAUAUGGCAGCUGAACAAGGAUCUGACUGUCCAGGCUUCAUUGCUACUCUGUCCCUACUUCAUUGCUCUGCCUCUGCCUCGCACUCCGCACGUUGCUGACCAGUCACGAACUGUGUUGAUUUUUUUUGGAACAAAGCCCUGUGCAGUUAACAAAAGGGCAUACUUUAGGUCAGAGAAAAUGUCUCAAAGACUCCACUUUUAUCUCUUUUUACUCUGCCAACACAGGCAAUUAUAACCAGCUCUGCUCUCCCAGUGCACCUAGGUUACCAGUGCUGUCUGUUGUCCUUUCUCCAGACCCCAAGCUCUGUGUAAGUAGAGUUUCCAGCUGUGACUGUACACUCAGGCUUCCAGUUCCAGCAGCCCUGGCAGGACUGACUCUAGCUUUCAUCAGCACCACAUGCAGCUCAUCCCACUCAGCAGUAGGAUUCCUCAGUCCCUGUGUGAUCCCAGCUUCCAGGUGUGAGUGCCACUGAAUGACUUUUGAAAAAGUAGAGAUUCAGCUUACUAAAAACAGUGCCCUCAUGCCACUCAUGCAUUUUCUAUUCCUGCUUGAGGAAUCCUUAUAGCAGAUAACUGUGGGGUCUGUCUGGCCCCAUUUGCUUCCCUCCAGGGCAAUGCAGCACGUCUCCUCUCAGGAGGCCAAAACAUCUCACCUGAAAAUGGCUUCUGCAGUUGAAGUAACCCACACUGAAAGGAGAUUUUGCACAAGUCACAAAAGAACCACCUUGGUAGACUUAUUUUUUUAAAUUCUUUCCUGGUGGCAGACACAUCAAACCCCACUCCACCCUGCAGAGGCACAAGAGCAUCAUAGUGCUCUCCCUCCAGCAUGAUAUAGGAGAUGUGUUGCUGUUACUUACCACUGCUGCUGUGUACAUCUAAGUCUCUAUUUCAGACCAAGAAAAUGAAUGUUAAGUUUCUAAGAGAAUUUAAUCCAUGGGAUUUGUGGCUUUUUUCAGGAGAAAAUACUUAGCUCUGGUAAUUACACAGCAGCACCUAAAUUGUGAAAGGUUAACAGAAUUCAUUAGGCUUGAGGAUUGCUGGAAACAGAUUUAAUAACAGGCACCAACACGGUGUUUUGAUUGCAAAUACCACAUCAGUUGGUGUAUAACUUGCUACAGUCUCAAGUACCAAAAUCUCUUUGCACCUGAAGCUCCCCUGUUCUGGUCAUACCUGCCCUGUCAGUUCAACAGUGGCACCAUCUGAUAAAGAGCCAGGAAACUCCUGUAUAAAGGGGCUUCAGAAAGAGCUGUGAAAUGUGAAGCUUCAUGCAAAUCUCAAACAUGCAAGCAUGAUGCUCACAUGUAACCAAGUGAGACAGCCACCCUUUUUAAACUUUUGCAUUUUGAUCCUGUUGUAUGACUACUUGACCUUUGAUUUGAUUUUCCAAUACAGAAAGAAGACAUUCUAUUUUGUAAGUUUAAUACACACAUCGCACAUAUACUUUUCUUUUCUCCUUGAGCAAAAAAAGGCAGCUUAAAAGACAAGUUCCCUGUGAUGGGAGGCUACAGAAAACUCACAUUUUGUACUGAAGGUCCCUCUUACUAAACUUCAUAGGGAGCAGAGAUCAAACUCUCAGCUCCAGUCUUGCUAUCUUGCCAUCAGUCUGCAGGAACCAAGGUACAAUUAAUACAUAUGUGGUGAGACAGAUUACUUGGGUUCACAUAUCCUUAAAGAGUAGCUUUUGAAGAUGUGAAAGCUAAAUUCCUUUUGAAAACCUGUCUUAUUCAUAAGUUCUGCAGCACAAAAUCUACUCAGUCUUCUUAUCUUUACCUCAGCAGAUGUGCUCGUCUUAGAAGUCAAGAGAGCGCUGCAAAAAUAAAAUAGUUGUUACUGAAAGGACAGAAUACAACCAACAUUUGCAUGUGAUCUAGAACAGAGAAAGAAUGCAACUGCAUGAAGUUUUCAUAGCAGCAAAGCCUGGCUGCAGAAGGCUGGGAAUAGAUUUAAUGAUUGAACAAGAGUAGAGAAAGAGAAGUAUGUCCAAAAAAACCUGAGUAAGGUAGGUGCUUGACUCCCCCUAAAGAAAUUUUCUUUUAAAAAAUUCAAGCCAGGAAUUCCAGUAUACCUGCUGGAACUCCCCUGAAGAAAUUAAAUUGUAUGACUCACCAGGAAUGUAACUCUCAUUAUCAAAUGAGGCUCAGCCUGCUCCUGGGUAUUCACUCUGUAUUGGUGCUCAGUGGUCUGGGGUUUUUUCAGUGACAUGUGAAGGACUGGUAGAAUAAUGUCAUGUAUAAGGAAUUUGUCAACCAUGUGCCACACUAGAAAUGAAACUAAUCCCUUGCAGGCUCACAAAGUACUUGCAACACAUUGUAUAUUAAUUCCAUAAUAACAGGGCAGUCUGAGAGAGGUUGUUCCCUACCAAAUGUAAUGUUUCUACAUGGUGGCCAAAACCACCUGAGCUAAAUUUCUUUCACCAUAUGCAUGGCAAUGAGACAUGAAAAAUUCUUCACAUAGAAGUACCUGAAAACUGAACUGCAGGUUCCCACAAAUUCCCCAUAAUUACCUCCUCAAAGAAGUUGCUUGAAGAAUACCUAUUUCUUAAGGUAAGCCAAACAGGAAAGGGAUAAAGGGACAUGGACAAAGCCAUGUUUCAAGUGUAAAGAAAAUACCGUCAUUCUUCCAAUUAGAAACUAGUAACCAGGCAAGAUAACUGAUGAGUAAAAUAUCAUUGAAACUGGAAGAAAGGAUCUAAGUAGUUCUAGCAAAGAUACAACAGUGAGAAUAGUCUUGUUUAUACAUCAACCCUAAAGACAGCAUUACCUUCAAACACAUACUGGAACACUGUAGGGACACACACAUGCUGUGGUCUUGUCUUGCAGUCAAGAUAGUGUUGCAGAGCUUGAUCAGGGACAGGCUUUCCCAACAGAGAUCCAUGCUCCUGGCUCUUGUGAGCUUUGGGGAACAUGCUCCAUGUCAGAAGACGCAGUGAAAGCUAAACAUUCAAACCUCAGAUCAUUUGGAUAGGUAACGGCACAAAUUUUUACAUGAUCCUGUACCAUUGGCAAUACCUUUGUAAUACUGGUUUGAUGCUGCCCAGCAGAUGGGGCAGGUGACCAGCAGAAGAAUCCGUGCUGACAAAUUGCAUUGCAUCUAAUUCUCCUGGGGUGAACACACUUUGACAAAGAACCACCCUGCUCCAGAGAAGCCUUCUAGGCCACAAGUUCACCUGCUUGGGAUCCCUACACCAGCUCUGCUGUGGGACAUCCGCUUUUCCACUGUGGAUAACAUAUUCAGAGGAAGAGAUCCUGGCUCCACAGAAACAGGGAACAGCUUUGCAAUCAUCACAGUUGUGGAUAGGAUUUUGUCCUGAAGGUAUGGCUGGGGCACAGAAUGUGAUGACAACAAACAUCCCAAAGUACAAGCCUGCUCCUGGAGGGUGUAAGCAAUACAGCAGUGUACCAUGAAGUGAAACAGAGCACUGUCAUGGUGCAGCUACAUCACAAGACUUUUCAUGAAAGCAGACAAAAGAUGCCAAAAUAUGUAUCAAGGUGGUCAAAGGGCAUGGUUAAACUGUUGUCUGGUCGUGGUUGUAGUGUGUUUUUAAUCAAUACUUCGAUCCAUAAUAAAAUUCAUUUUACACGAAAUUGCAGCAUCUUCAAUAUCAACAGAAUCCGUACCAAAUGCAUUCCACAGCUGUUUUCUGAAUGUUACCUUAAAUAUUACAUUAGGAUGAACAGUACUCAAAAAAUUAAGUAUUUCUGUUGUAACAUUUUAUAAAAGUGUAUUUUGUGCAAAGCAGUCUUAAAGUGGUACAUAACUCAGGUGCAUUAGUUUCAGAAUGCAGCUCUGUACCCCACUGUAUUUGAGGACAAAUGACAAGCCACACAUCCAAAGACUAACAAUUUUUAAUUUUUAUACAAUGCACAUAGUGUCAUCUUCCACUAUCAUACAGUGUUAUGUACUUCAGAAAUGAACCAAACAUAACCUUCAAAGGCACUAUGGCAAACUCUACUGGAGAUACUGUGUUCUAACUCAAAGAAGGUGAAGGAAUCUUGCUGUGAAAUAACAAAUCUGAUCAUUUUCUUGGUAAGACAUUUACCAGACUUCAAAUCAAAGACUUGGCAGAAAGGUUCUUGAAAAGAAAGUUACAAUGUAAGCCUGGCUUAUACCCUUUAAUUUAACUUAUACACUUUAAAUUAACUUAUUAUUAACUUAGAUUAACUUAUUAAAUGAACUUAUACCCCUUAAUUUGUUUUUUAAAGAAGGCAACCAUAAGGCAUUUUUAAAUAUCAAUUCUGAUUAUCUGCUGCCCCAUCUCCCUAGCUUAUCUGACCAUGUUUCGCUACAGGAUUAACCAUCAGUGCAAAACUUCUUACCUACAGAUGUGAAUGGUCACAGUAUCGGGGUUAAAAUCCACCACUACCUCACAGUUUGUGUCACCCUCGUGUCAUCUGUCUGGAUGUAUGCUGUGAGUAAACAUGACCUGAUCUAGCCCACACUUGGAUCAGACAAGGCUUCCACAUGGAAAAAGGAUUGUUCUAACAGGAUGGGCAAACAUUCACCAAGUCCUCCUAGUGUGUCCAAUUAGUACAUCCACUUAAAUGUCCUUGCUACCUAUUAAUACGAAGCAUUGUUCCUCAUACAGGAGAUGUCAUGGGCUGCUGCAAGAGACUUAUGCCAGAAGAUCAUCACUCUACAAAUUCCCUGACUACCAGCACCUGGAGAGGUACAGACAUUUAAGCUAAAUCAGAAUAGAGUAGAAGAGGAGUUACAUAUGAAUAAUUUCUGUUCCAGCAUCAGAAAGAGGCCUUCUUGCUGUUCACCUUCUUUUUAUUUUAUGUUUGACACAACUGAAUUUUCCAAAUGCCCUUGUGGUUAACCUUCUUUACAAAGUAUAAAUACCAUUCCAUUCUUAUACAAAAGAAAUACAGCUGUUUGUUACAUACACACAUGUUGACAGCAAUUCCUUGAAAGAGCAGUGCAACUUGAAAUUACAGAGCCAACGCCCAUGGAGCACUUCUUUAGCCGCAGGCCAGGAAGUCUCUGCUGAGAAAGGCAAUCUUUUAAGGUAAAAUGCUUUAACUGAGUUCAUAACAUUUGAAUGGGGUAAUCAGAACUGUGUGACAUGCUGUCAUACCACAAAUUAGUCAUACUCUGGUGUACAAACUGCAGUUGCUGCAUUUCACUGAAGCCAUCCAAUGCAGAAUGGAAUUGCUUGAAUACAUCUCACUGGCAUAAGGAAGUAGCCCUGCUGGAUGACACGUUAUCAACUGAAUUUUCAGACAUGGAAUAUAUUUGAGAAUAAAAUGAAGACACAAGUGAGAUCACAGAAGAUUUUGGCAAGUAUUUUUAUGUUAACUUUUUUUGUUUAGGGCUUGUUAUGGCUUUUUUGGUUUCUUUAGGGAAUUCCUGCACAGCAAAAGGAAUGAAGAAUUCCAGAAGAGAGUUGACUUCCUUCAGUUCCAGACUGUAUUCUGCUGCUAUUUUCUCUGCAGUCCAUAUGUGAGGUUGAAGUUUAUGAUUAUUAAGAAGUGUCAGAGCCUCCACAAGGGAAAUUUUGCCUUUGGGAACUUUCUUAACAUCUAGACCUUCCAAGUGGCCUAA